UUAUUUAAUAUGAAUAUAUAUAUAUUUAUGUAAGUUAGAUUAACUAUAAAUGAUAAAAAAUUAAGAUUAUGUAUUAUAUAUUAUUAUAAUAAGAGUAAUUAAUGGCAAAACCUUCUCAUCUUUGCAUUCUUAUACACUUAACCCCAAAUUCUUUUUUUUCGUCGGUGAAACCUCACAAUCCAUGGUUCCGUUAGCAAAUAUAAGGUCUUUGGAGCCAUCUGACCAUCUAAACUAAUGUCACGUCAUAAUUUUUUUUUUAAAUUAAAAUAAAUAAAUAAAGAUAUUUAAAUUAAUUCAAAAUAAAAAAUUAUUUUAAUUUAAAUAUAGAUUAAUUAAUAAUUAAAACGAUUACUUAAAAAUAGAUUAAAAACUAAUUCUUAAUUCUUUUUCUUUUCUUCUUCUUUUUCUUCAUUCCUUCUUCUUCUUCUUGAAGCCCUAGCCGCCUACCCAUUCCUUCUUUCUUUUUGUCAUCUCGCACUCUCUAUCUCCCUCUUCGCAUCUCGACUUGAAUGACAACACCCUCCAAGCCCCUUCGACGGAGGUUGCAGACCACAACAAGAUCGCCCCGUCUUCGAUCAAAUCUGGUCUUCGACGGAACCAGGAGCUUUUCACCGGAGCUCUUUGCCUGCAGGUAGUUGUCGAAGCAACUGGGAAAUUCUUGCUUUUGGUUUGCUUCAGAUAUCCCCAGUUGAAGUGUGCAGUUGCUCUUCGUUGUUGCCCAUGUUUUUGUUGUGUUUCAGGUGGAAGACACCAUAUUCACCUAUUGAUUUACUGGGUUUGAUUUUGGGGUUGGGAAGUUGCAAGAAGAAGAAGAAGGAGGAGGAGGAAAGAAGAGGGUUGGGGUUAGGGCUGGGUCACGUUGGGUUGCGCGAGACAGGGCAAAGGCCUGUGCGAAUGGAGAAGUUGCGAAGGGGAGAAAAAGAGGAAGGAAAGAAGAAAAAGAAGCAGGGAAGAAAGAGGAAAAAAUUUAGGGUUUAGUUUUUAAUUUUAUUUUAGAUUUAUAAAUUAAUAUUAAUUUUUUGUUUUUAAUAUA